rnacentral:rRNA from 1 species
AUUGAACGCUGGCGGCAUGCUUUACACAUGCAAGUCGAACGGCAGCGCGGGCUUCGGCCUGGCGGCGAGUGGCGAACGGGUGAGUAAUGCAUCGGAACGUGCCCCGUAGUGGGGGAUAGCCCGGCGGAAGCCGGAUUAAUACCGCAUACGACCUGAGGGUGAAAGCGGGGGGCCGAAAGGCCUCGCGCUAUUGGAGCGGCCGAUGUCGGAUUAGCUAGUUGGUGGGGUAAAGGCGUAGCAAGGCGACGAUCCGUAGCUGGUCUGAGAGGACGACCAGCCACACUGGGACUGAGACACGGCCCAGACUCCUACGGGAGGCAGCAGUGGGGAAUUUUGGACAAAGGGGGCAACCCUGAUCCAGCCAUGCCGCGUGCGGGAAGAAGGCCUUCGGGUUGUAAACCGCUUUUGUUCGGGAAGAAAUCCUCUGGGCUAAUACCCCGGGGGGAUGACGGUACCGGAAGAAUAAGCACCGGCUAACUACGUG